GAUGAACGCUGGCGGCGUGCCUAAUACAUGCCAGUCGAGCGAACGGACGAGAAGCUUGCUUCUCUGAUGUUAGCGGCGGACGGGUGAGUAACACGUGGAUAACCUACCUAUAAGACUGGGAUAACUUCGAGAAACCGGAGCUAAUACCGGAUGAUAUUUUGAACCGCAUGGUUCAAAAGUGAAAGACGGUCUUGCUGUCACUUAUAGAUGGAUCCGCGCUGCAUUAGCUAGUUGGUAAGGUAACGGCUUACCAAGGCAACGAUGCAUAGCCGACCUGAGAGGGUGAUCGGCCACACUGGAACUGAGACACGGUCCAGACUCCUACGGGAGGCAGCAGUAGGGAAUCUUCCGCAAUGGGCGAAAGCCUGACGGAGCAACGCCGCGUGAGUGAUGAAGGUCUUCGGAUCGUAAAACUCUGUUAUUAGGGAAGAACAUAUGUGUAAGUAACUGCGCACAUCUUGACGGUACCUAAUCAGAAAGCCACGGCUAACUACGUG
rnacentral:rRNA from 1 species